rnacentral:rRNA from 1 species
UCCAGACUCCUACGGGAGGCAGCAGUGGGGAAUAUUGCACAAUGGGGGGAACCCUGAUGCAGCGACGCCGCGUGGGUGAAGGAGCACCUCGGUGCGUAAAGCCCUAUCGGCAGGGAAGAAACAGACGGUACCUGACUAAGAAGCCCCGGCUAACUACGUGCCAGCAGCCGCGGUAAUACGUAGGGGGCAAGCGUUAUCCGGAUUUACUGGGUGUAAAGGGAGCGUAGACGGUUAUGUAAGUCUGGAGUGAAAGCCCGGGGCCCAACCCCGGGACUGCUUUGGAAACUGUGUAACUAGAGUACAGGAGGGGCAGGCGGAAUUCCUGGUGUAGCGGUGAAAUGCGUAGAUAUCAGGAGGAACACCGGCGGCGAAGGCGGCCUGCUGGACUGAAACUGACGUUGAGGCUCGAAAGCGUGGGGAGCAAACAGGAUUAGAUACCCCCGUAGG